GUGCUCGCUUCGGCAGCACAUAUACUGAAAUUGGAACGAUACAGAGAAGAUUAGCACGGUCCCUGUGCUAAUUCAUGAAGUGUUCCAUAUUAAA
ensembl:snRNA U6 U6 spliceosomal RNA